AACCCAUGUUGAGGACAUUUCCACAAGACCUCCUUGAAAAUAUUCCAUGUCUCAAAAAGAGACUCUAAUUCAAUUUGCACAAAAGAAGAUAUUUCAUUCCUAAGCUU